UACGGCCAUAUGUUGAAACACCGACUCCGAUAUGCUCACCGAAGUUAAGCAACGUCGUGCCUGAUCAGUACCUAGAUGGGUGACAGCUUGGGAAUAUCUGGUGCUGUAAG